rnacentral:rRNA from 1 species
AGCGAACGCUGGCGGCAGGCCUAACACAUGCAAGUCGAACGGAUCCUUCGGGAUUAGUGGCGGACGGGUGAGUAACACGUGGGAACGUGCCCUUUGGUUCGGAACAACUCAGGGAAACUUGAGCUAAUACCGGAUGUGCCCUUCGGGGGAAGGAUUUAUCGCCAUUGGAGCGGCCCGCGUCUGAUUAGCUAGUUGGUGAGGUAAAAGCUCACCAAGGCGACGAUCAGUAGCUGGUCUGAGAGGAUGAUCAGCCACAUUGGGACUGAGACACGGCCCAAACUCCUACGGGAGGCAGCAGUGGGGAAUCUUGCGCAAUGGGCGAAAGCCUGACGCAGCCAUGCCGCGUGAAUGAUGAAGGUCUUAGGAUUGUAAAAUUCUUUCACCGGGGACGAUAAUGACGGUACCCGGAGAAGAAGCCCCGGCUAACUUCGUGCCAGCCGCCGCAGUAAGAC